UACGUAGGGUGCAAGCGUUAAUCGGAAUUACUGGGCGUAAAGCGUGCGCAGGCGGCUUUGCAAGACAGAUGUGAAAUCCCCGGGCUUAACCUGGGAACUGCAUUUGUGACUGCAUGGCUGGAGUGCGGCAGAGGGGGAUGGAAUUCCGCGUGUAGCAGUGAAAUGCGUAGAUAUGCGGAGGAACACCGAUGGCGAAGGCAAUCCCCUGGGCCGGCACUGACGCUCAUGCGCGAAAGCGUGGGGAGCAAACAGG
rnacentral:rRNA from 1 species